rnacentral:lncRNA from 1 species
UUCUCUUGACCAGACAUGAAGAGUCUAUAAAAGCAAGACUUUGUUUUGCAUUUUUAUUCAUUCAAUCUUUUUAACAAUCCAAUACAAUCCUUUACAAGCCUUGAAUCUUUUUGAACUUCUUCUUCUUCUUUGUGCCAAAAAGCUUUCCAAAGUUUUCUGGUUUUCUAAACCUUGAAAACUUGUGCUAUUCAUUCUUUUCAUCUCUUCUCCCUUUGCCAAAAAGAAUUCGCCAAGGACUAACCGCCUAAAUUCUUUUUGUGUCUCUCUUCUCCCUUUUCCAAAAGAACAAAGGACUAACCGCCUAAAUUCUUUUGUGUCUUCCUUCUCCCUUGUCAAAGAAUUCAAAACGACACAGUCUAAGAAUUCUUUUGAUUCUUCCCUUUCCCUUAUACAAAAGUGUUCAAAGGACUAACCGCCUAAGAAUUUU